UGCAGUCGAACGGUAACAGGUUAAGCUGACGAGUGGCGAACGGGUGAGUAAUAUAUCGGAACGUGCCCAGUCGUGGGGGAUAACUGCUCGAAAGAGCAGCUAAUACCGCAUACGACCUGAGGGUGAAAGCGGGGGAUCGCAAGACCUCGCGCGAUUGGAGCGGCCGAUAUCAGAUUAGGUAGUUGGUGGGGUAAAAGCUCACCAAGCCAACGAUCUGUAGCUGGUCUGAGAGGACGACCAGCCACACUGGGACUGAGACACGGCCCAGACUCCUACGGGAGGCAGCAGUGGGGAAUUUUGGACAAUGGACGCAAGUCUGAUCCAGCCAUGCCGCGUGCGGGAAGAAGGCCUUCGGGUUGUAAACCGCUUUUGUCAGGGAAGAAAAGGUUCUGGUUAAUACCUGGGACUCAUGACGGUACCUGAAGAAUAAGCACCGGCUAACUACGUGCCAGCAKCCGCGGUAAUACGUAGGGUGCAAGCGUUAAUCGGAAUUACUGGGCGUAAAGCGUGCGCASGCGGUUAUGCAAGACAGAUGUGAAAUCCCCGGGCUCAACCUGGGAACUGCAUUUGUGACUGCAUAGCUAGAGUACKGUAGAGGGGGAUGGAAUUCCGCGUGUAGCAGUGAAAUGCGUAGAUAUGCGGAGGAACACCGAUGGCGAANGCWAUCCCCUGGACCUGUACUGACGCUCAUGCACGAAAGCGUGNGGAGCAAACAGGAUUAGAUACCCUGGUAGUCCACGCCCUNNACGAUGUCRACUGGUUGUUGGGAGGGUUUCUUCUC
rnacentral:rRNA from 1 species